AAACCUGAAACAACUUCUUCACCCUGGGUAGUUGCUACAGGCCCUCCAACUGCUGAUGCUAAUGUAGGCCAGCUGAAAACCUUGCAGCUCCCCAGUCCUCCGGAAUAUGUUGUGUACACCGACAGUGAGUUGGAGCAAUGCCGAAAGAGUUACCUGGAGUUGGCCUGCUCCGGCAGGGAACAAGCAUGCGUCAUGUCAAAAGAACUGAGAUGCAGAUUGGUGAGAAAUACAAUCACAAGUAUGGUGUCCCUUUUGAGAGCAAGCCAAGGCCAAAUGGAGUGAUACCCCUCUAAGACCGAAAUCACUGCAAUGGCUAAAAAAGUUGUGGAAUAUUAUCCUAUGCUGCAGGAUAAUGAUGCAAGCGUAAAACACGUAAGUUCUUGUAUUUGUGUCUCAUAUAUAAAUCAUUUUGUUUUGUUCAGGGGGCAUGAUAUAUAUGUAUUUUUCACCAGGAGAGCAUUAAUGCCAAGUUACAAAAAAGGCUGCAAAAUAUGAAAACCCCAGUAAAAAGGCAAGGACCAACACCGGAGAGGGGACGGCCCAAGAGAAGGCUCACUGACCUCUCCCCAAGGGAUGAAGAAGCUGAUGAUGAAGAUGCUGAUCGCAGUUCUUCCAGUGGUGCAUCUACUCUGUUAUCACCUGUCAGAAAUUCUGACGAUGCCUCCACUUCAUCUGACAAGGAUAGUCGGCAAAUACAAGCAAGACAUUACAAAACAUUACAAGAAAUGUGCAAGAAGGCAAAACCAAACCAAGAAGAUGUGUCCCAGCUAUUAGACCUCGAGUUUGAAGCCAGAAGAUCCUUCAUUGACUCAGACACCAUGAAAGAGGAGAACAGAGCUCGCCUCAUCUUGGAUGCAUAUCCAUUCUUUAAAGAAUUGCAUCAUGCAUUGGGUGAGCUUCGCAGAAUUUUGGAUCCCCACAACAAGUUCAUCAGUCAAAUAAAACUGAGAUGGGAAGAAUUCUGCUCCAGGGUAGAGUUCUACGGUGUGUCAAAGAAGGCAAUGAAUCCACCAAUGACCAUGGACAAAAGUAAGUUUUACCAUUUGAAUACAAAGUUCUCAUCCUUUAAAAUUUAUGUUUAUGAAGGUUUGUUUCUGCUUUGUCCAGCUGAAGCCCACCUUGCACUGAUGAAGGCUCUUCCAACGCUCUUUCCCACACCUGCCCAUCCACCAAAAAAGAUGGGGAAUGCUUCUGAAGCAUUUCUACAUGUCCUGAAGGUAAGUUUUGUAAAAUUUGCUUAUAAAGAUCUACAGAAAAUUUGGCAAACGAAAUUUUUCGGUCAAAUAUGACUCCAAAAUGCUUUUUCGGUUUCAGCCGAAAGACUUAAAUCUAUAAUUUAUUGUUUUCAUUAAUUUAUAACGUAUUUAAUGUACACGAGUGUGGUCACAUAAGGAGUCGCUUGACACUGAUAAACCAUAAGUCAUAACUAUUAUAAAAUGUGUGUAACCAACAAAGAACAAGAUAAUGACGUCUCCGACGUUAUGACCAAAUCCCAGCAAAAAAACAUACAAUUAACAUAAGAUGUUAACUGUCAUGUCUUUUGUGUCUUGCAGCCUACAGAAGAUCCAGAUGCUGUCCUCCAGAAACGAAGCUUGUCAUGUCCAGUAGUGAUGUUCGAUGGCUGCAAGUGUGUCAUUGCUGUUGGUAAUUUACCAGUUACAACAUUUGACAAAGAAAAACUUGGUGAGGCUAUGAUAUAUGUGAUGGCAUACUUUUAUGCACUCCAUCUGACUUACCCCAAAUGCGUGGCAACCCUGCUGUCUGUCAUUCAGACAGAAGUUCUCCAGGAUGCCAUUCAUGAGCAUGACACUACAUCAUCUUACAGAAAAGCCCUGGCAGAAUGGCAUGCAUUUAUUGGAAAGUAGUGUGUAAAUUUCAGAUAAGAUUAUGAGAGGGCACUUUUGUUUUGUUUUUUGUUUUUUCAAUCUGGGUCUUAUUUCUAAAAUGGAAAAUGUUCAUUUACUCACCCAGACAAGAUCUGUGGUAUUUGGUGUCAUUCGAAAGAAAUUUGAAUCUUUGUGGUCUUCCUAUGUCACUCGUCAAUUUUAAUGGGGCAAUGGCGAAACCUCUAAGGCUGUUGAAAUGUUGAAACCACUUAAACAAACUCAUAAUGUUGGACCUGUACUGUUCAAUUGUAUCUUUAUUAUCUGCAGGUUAUUGUUAAAGUGGACAAAUAAAGAUGGACACUUUUGCUCUGUUUCAGUUUUGUUUUGUCCUUAAUCAGCAAUAUAAUCUUAAAGUAGUGUUUAGCUAAAUUUAAAAAGCAGAAAUAUCUUUAAAAUGAUUUAAUGUACUAGUUUUUAGACUAUUUGCCUUGAUUUGUUCGUUAGAAUAAGUGUUUUAUGCCUAUUUUCAGAUUUAAUUUCUUCAACAUUUUACUUAGAACAAGUGGUUAAAGCUUAUUUUUAGGUUUCAAGCCAUGAUUGGUUGCCUGGAAUAAGUGUAAAAGACUUAUUUUUAUCUUUAUUAUCUUUAUUUGUGGCCUACAAUAAGUGGUUAAAGCUUAUUUUAAGUUUCAAUUGUUCUGAUUUGUUGCCUGGAAUAAGUGUAAGAGACUUAUUUUUAGCUUUAUUAUCUUAUUUGUGGCUUACAAUAAGUGGUUAAAGCUUAUUUUAAGUUUCAAUUGUUCUGAUUUGUUGCCUGGAAUAAGUGUAAGAGACUUAUUUUUAGCUUUAUUAUCUUAUUUGUGGCUUACAAUAAGUGGUUAAAGCUUAUUUUAAGUUUCAAUGUUCUGAUUUGUUGCCUGGAAUGAGUGUAAAAGACUUAUUUUUAGCUUUAUUUAAAUCUAGAUAUUGUUCUUAUUUCAAGAAAUCUUGUUAAGAAAAAAACACUUACCCCAUGGGCAGAUAAUUUCACUUGUUUUAAGCAAAUCUUCACCAAAAAUAAGUGUAUUUUUCUAGUAUUAAGGAGGUGGGUUUUUGCAGUGCAAACUGUACAACUUGGGACUUGGGGAAAGUCAGAGGACUAGCAGGCUGAGGAGAGGGGUGAAUGAUGUCAGAGACUGCAAUAAACCAAACAAAAUAGACCAACACUUUGCCAUUGUUCACACUUUAAUUGCUGGAAUUCCUUUGAUUGUUACCUUUUUAAAUUCUUACUGCUGUUGAUAUUUUGUUUUUAAUUAUUUGUACCUUUUGGGGGUUUUCUGUUUGUUUGUUUGUUUUGUAUUUAAUGUGAACUGAUGUUGUGCUGCUGGAAUCAUAAUUUCCCUAAAGGGACCUCCCCAAGGGAUUACACCAAGUUCCAAAUUAUUAUGCAAAUUGUGUUUAAGUCUCAUAAAGAUUAAAUAAGUUGUUUUUCAAUUAAACCCAUGGAUGGAAUUGUGUCUCAGGACUCUUUGUAUCACUGAAAACAAUCUCGAACACCUGUGAUCAUUAGUUUGCCAGGUGAGCCCAAUUAAAGGAAAAACAACUAAAGAAGGAUGUUCCACAUUAUUAAGCAGACCACCAUUUUCAAGCAAUAUAGGAAGGAAAAAUGAUCUCUGCUGCUGAAAAGCGUGAAAUAGUUGAAUGCCUUGGAUAAGUAAUGAAAACCUUAGAUAUUUAACAAAAAUUUACCAUAAUGGUAAGGGAUUUGUGGCAGAGCACACAUAGGUUCGUGCAGAUAAAGGCACAAUGAUGAAGGUUUCUGCCAGACAAAUACAUCAGAUUAAGAGGGCAGCUGCUAAAAGGCUAUUACAAAGCAGCAAACACAUAUUUGAAGCUGCUGGUGUCUCUGGAGCCCUGCAAACAUCAAGGUGUAGGAUCCUCCAGAGACUUGCUGUUGUGCAUAAACCUAUUCGGCCACCCCUAACCAAUGCUCACAAGCAGAAACGGCUGCAGUGGGCCCAGAACUACAUAAAGACUAAUUUUCAAACAGUCUCGUACACUGAUGAGUGCAGUGCAACCCUGGAUGGUGCAGAUGGAUGCAGUGGUGGAUGGUUGGUGGACGGCCACCAUGUCCCAACAAGGCUGCGUCGUCAGCAUGGAGAGAGCUGGUCGGUCCCUUUAUGGUCCCUGAAGGUGUGAAAAUGACCUCUGCAAAGUACGUGGAGUUUCUGACUGACCACUUUCUUCCAUGGUAGAAAGAGAAGAACUGUGCCUUCUGCAACACAACCAUCUCCAUGCAAGACAAUGCACCAUCUCAUGCUACAAGGAAUACCUCUGCAUCAUUGGCUGCUAUCGGCGUAAAAGGAGAGGAACUCAUGGUGUGGUCCCCAUUCUUCCCUGACUUCAAUCCUAUUGAGAACCUUUGGAACAUCCUCAAGCAAAAACUAUGAGGGUGGGAGGCAGUUCACAUCCACACAGCAGCUCAUGGAGGCUAUUCUGACAUCCUGCAAAGACAUUCAAGUAGAAACUUUCCAAAAACUCACAAGUUCCAUGGAUGCAAGAAUUGUAAAAGUGCUAUCAAAUAAGGGGUCCUAUGUUAAUAUGUAACUUGACCUGUUAAGAUGUUUUUGAUUGAAAUAGCUUUUGAUGUCAGUGAAAUUGAUCUACUAAUGCUGCAAAUUCAACAAAUGACCAUUUUCAAUUCUCUACAACCUAUAAAAUCUUUUGAAACUCUGUGUGAGUAAUAAUUUGGAACAGUGCAUUUUAAGUUUUGUAUUUUUGAAAAACAUACUGUUUUCAUUGGGAGUUUUGUUCAGU
ensembl:lncRNA